rnacentral:rRNA from 1 species
UGCCAGACUCCUACGGGAGGCAGCAGUGGGGAAUAUUGCACAAUGGGGGAAACCCUGAUGCAGCGACGCCGCGUGAGUGAAGAAGUAUUUCGGUAUGUAAAGCUCUAUCAGCAGGGAAGAGGUUGACGGUACCUGAGUAAGAAGCCCCGGCUAACUACGUGCCAGCAGCCGCGGUAAUACGUAGGGGGCAAGCGUUAUCCGGAUUUACUGGGUGUAAAGGGAGCGUAGACGGCAGUGCAAGUCUGAAGUGAAAGCCCCGGGCUUAACCCGGGAACUGCUUUGGAAACUGUACGGCUGGAGUGCUGGAGAGGUAAGCGGAAUUCCUAGUGUAGCGGUGAAAUGCGUAGAUAUUAGGAGGAACACCAGUGGCGAAGGCGGCUUACUGGACAGUAACUGACGUUGAGGCUCGAAAGCGUGGGGAGCAAACAGGAUUAGAUACCCCAGUA